rnacentral:rRNA from 1 species
UACGAAGGGGGCUAGCGUUGUUCGGAAUACUGGGCGUAAAGCGUGCGCAGGCGGCUUCUCAAGUCAGGGGUGAAAGCCCAGAGCUCAACUCUGGAAUUGCCUUUGAGACUGAGUGGCUUGAGUACGAGAGAGGUGAGUGGAAUUCCCAGUGUAGAGGUGAAAUUCGUAGAUAUUGGGAAGAACACCGGUGGCGAAGGCGGCUCACUGGCUCGUAACUGACGCUCAUGCACGACAGCGUGGGGAUCAAACAGG